GUGAGACGUAAAUGAAAGAGAGAAAAAGAUAAAACAGAAACAGCACCAUAGUAUUCCACAAGUAGAGAAGAAGGCAACAAAACAAAACCAGGCGACCAGAGUAUAUAGCUGGGAUGUGUGUGUGGAAAUAGCCACAGAUCAAUUUUAUGGGGCAAACUAGGAGCCACCUCGCAAUAAAAGCAGAAGUUGCCAAUUAAAAAGAUAACUAUUCAUGGUAACUCUAAAGGGGACCAUGAGCAGUUGACUUUUGCUCCAAGUUUAAUCUUUACUGGUUUUUCAAAAUACAUCACGGUUAUCCUUUUCCAUCCAGAAUAUACACAAAAGCAAUCCUAAAGUGUUGGAAAUGAAGUAUAGUUGUAUAAUGAAGUAAUGAAACUUCCCUCCACCCCAACAUGGGUCCUCUACAUAUCUGUAUCAACUGCAUAUUGAAUACUAUCUAGUUUAUAAUUAUCCGUUAUUUCCAUGUUAUGUCACAUGCUGAGCAGUUGACUUUUGAUCACAUUGCCUCAAAACUGCCAUCCAGUUUUUUUCAGAGCAAUCCUAAAUGAUGUCAGGGAGAAAGUGCAACAUGGCAGCUCUACUGCUUUGUGCCAGCCAAGACAGUAGGUAUGGGGAAUGUUGCUUUGCAGUUUUUCACUAUGCCAAUUUUAGGGUCCCUUAGGGGAUUUGCGGAGUCCAAAGCUUUUGGGUGACAAACCUUGAAACCCUUUGGGGGCUUUCUGCUUGCUGUUACUAGUGGCAGAAUCACCUUCCUGGGCACAGCUGCAGGAUAAAUUGGUUUAUCCUGAAUUUUAAUUGAUUUAUCUGUUAUAAGGGGUUGCCAGCCAUCAGUUUAAACCAUAAUCCAAAGAGCAGCUUGAUAUGCACAAACCAGCAAGGCAAGUUAUUCAAAGUAUAAACAUUAUCCCCUGACUGUGCAUUAGUUGACUCCAAUAGGCUUCAAUGAUUACUCCAAAAGCUGGUAAUCCCAUAUUUAUUCAGAAAGAGUUAGUAGCCUGACAAAAACAGAAGUGCCCAUAUCCCUUGCUGUAGGAUUGAAAACGUUUAAUGAAGAGCAAGCUUUAAAUAAUGUAAAUAAUAAGAAUGAUGAUGAUAUAUUGAAACAAAGCCCCACCCUCUCCUGACAUUGAAUGGUUUUGGAUUGGAAUCAGUUACACUAAUCUGCAUAUUAAUCUGUUUACCACACUUCUGUAUAUUGUGAAAAGGGAAUUAGUUGUCAAAUAUUUUCUUGCCUUGCCCCCGUGGAAUGCAGAAAUUGAGUAAGUUAAUAAGUGAAACGUGCAACCUUUCAAACAGCUAAAAACAGACCGUUUCACAACCUUCAGAGAUUUAAUAAUGUAUUGUCCAGAGUGUGGAGGAGGUCAGAGUGUUCAUUGAGCAAAAAUAGAAAUCAAAAUGAAGUAAACCAGGAAUGUUAAACCUUAAUUAAAACAAAUUAAACAUUUCCAAAACAUUUUUUUUCUUUUGCUGCUCUUAAAUUUACAAGGUUAGCAUCCAAAUCCUGUGCAUAUUUACUUGGAAAUUGGUUCCACUUAGUUCAGUAGGACUUACUUCCCAGUUGCUUUGCUCUACUUGAGAGUAAUGCUCAUUGGAUUGGAUGGGAUUACUCAACUAAACAUGUAUAAGACUGGGCUAUAUAUUGGGCAUAGGACCGCAGCCUUGCUAGGAAGGAAUGUGAACUUAAUAGAAGCUAAGCACAAUAGUGCUACUUUUGAUCUGGGACAGAAUUAAAUUUGAUUAUUAGUACCUAUUAGUGGCUAUAAAAAAGGAAAAAGAACAUUUCACAUCUUUCUCUUUUAGGUUUCAACAUGGUUUUGUUUUGGAGUAUUUGGAGGGUGGAACAAAGCUCAGAGGUGGAACACAUACAUUCCGUGCAGAAGAUUCCUGGCUCAAUCCCUGGUAUUAUCAGUUAAAAGGAUAAGAUAACAGGUUGCAUGAAAGAUCUCUGAUCGACAUUGUGCCGAGCCACUUCCACAGUUAGAGAUGGGCUAGAUUUGGGGUCACCAGCCUUUUUGCACCAAUGGGCACAUUGGGAACUUCAAUAAAGUGCUCU